ensembl:lncRNA
AUAUCUUCCAGCUUUAUAAACGCUGUCAACUUCAGGCCUUUUUGUCUGCUUCCCUGGAGUGACACUUCUGCAACUCCCUGAUACUGGUCUGUAUCUCCUAUCUGCUGGUUUCACACUAGAAUAAUGUGCCAAGUGUCUUCUCAGUGUGGGCAGAGUGGUUCUCUAGGAAAUUCAUGCUGUGUUGACUGUUCCCUUGUCCUCAUGUAUUUCCUCUUUAGGGAUGCCGCAUCUUAAUUUUCACCUAACCAGUGUCUAAUUGAGCAAGUCUGUUUGGAUCCUCUCCAUAUCCAAGAAGGAUGGCAAAAUAAGCAUGAAUCGUGAGAUAUUUCUGUAUCUAAACCUGCCUUGCUGAAUUUUAUAUAUAAUAGUGCUUCCUGUGGGCAAGCAUUAUGUUGCUAUGCUGCCUCUUUCCAGAAAUAUAGCUGAUUUGGAAGAUGAAUCUACGAGAAGUUGCCACUUACAUAAUAAAAAGCAAAAGAGAUGUUCAAGUUCAGAUUUGACUAAUAUCCUCAGUGGGAAGACUUGCGGACCAGGCACUGGAAUUCUCUGAAGGCUUCUCCGAGCAUCUCUCCAUGUCUCUGAGCUCUCUCUCUGUGAUCUUGCUGGUCUGGUGGCUUCGGGGUAGCAGGAUAUCUUAUACAUUGUCUCCAAGCCUCAUGUUUUCAAAGAGAGAGUGGCAUAGAGAAUAGAAAGCCAGAAAAAGGUCUAGAUGCAGUGCCUUCAGCAAUAGCAAGGAGAAUAUGGCAAAGAGCUAAAUCACAUUGUCCACUACUGUGCUUGUCAGGCUAUGAGGACCCCUUUAGGUGCUUUGGGAACUUGAUGUUCAAUGGAAUUAUUUUUCACAUUCGUGGAAAGCAGUUUCUCUUAUGCUGCUCACCACAUGGUGGC